CAGCCGCCGCGGGAAUACGUAGGUGGCAAGCGUUGUCCGGAUUUAUUGGGCGUAAAGCGAGCGCAGGCGGUCAAUUAAGUCUGAUGUGAAAGCCCCCGGCUCAACCGGGGAGGGUCAUUGGAAACUGGUUGACUUGAGUGCAUAAGGGGAGAGUGGAAUUCCAUGUGUAGCGGCGAAAUGCGUAGAUAUAUGGAGGAACACCGGUGGCGAAAGCGGCUCUCUGGUCUGUCACUGACGCUGAGGCUCGAAAGCGUGGGUAGCGAACAGGAUUAGAUACCCCAGUAGUCCCUGUCUCUUAUAC
rnacentral:rRNA from 1 species